AAAAAGACAAACCCUGGUAUUCCAGCCGUACCCAACGUUUGAUUGUCCGUCUUAUAUGAAAUUUUUUUAUAAUUAGUAUUUUCAUUGUUGUUAGAUGAUAAAAUAUGAUUAAUACUUUAUACGUGACUUGUCUUUUUAAUUUUUUUUCAUAAUUUUUUUAAAUAAGACGGACGGUCAAACGUUGAACACGAAAACCCAGGGUUUGCCUUUUA
rfam:Oryza glumipatula chromosome 1, whole genome shotgun sequence.